CCAAUAGCGUAUAUUAAAGUUGCUGCAGUUAAAAAGCUCGUAGUUGAAUUUCGGGAUCAAUUUGUCGGUCGUGCCUCGGUACGUACUGGCUUAUUGGUUUCUCCUUUCUGACGAACCAUGAUGUCAUUUAUUUGGUGUUGUGGGGAAUCAGGACUGUUACUUUGAAAAAAUUAGAGUGUUUAAAGCAGGCUCACGCUUGAAUACAUUAGCAUGGAAUAAUGAAAUAGGACGUUUGAUUCUAUUUUGUUGGUUUCUAGGAUCGACGUAAUGAUUAAUAGGGAUAGUUGGGGGCAUUAGUAUUCAAUUGUCAGAGGUGAAAUUCUUGGAUUUAUUGAAGACUAACUACUGCGAAAGCAUUUGCCAAGGAUGUUUUCAUUAAUCAAGAACGAAAGUUAGGGGAUCGAAGACGAUCAGAUACCGUCGUAGUCUUAACCAUAAACUAUGCCGACUAGGGAUCGGAUGAUGUUAAUUUUUUAAUGACUCAUUCGGCGCCUUACG
rnacentral:rRNA from 1 species